AAUUAUGACAGUAAAAGAGAUCAGACCUAACUGACUCGACUCUAUCUUGCUUCUAACCUUUAAGCUGGCCUUGUUCAUUCCUGGGCAUAGGCCAAACUAACCUUGGGAAGGAAUUUAGUUUAUAGUUCAACUUUGAAACAAAAUUAAUAAUAGCCCUUUCCCAAAGGGGAAAGCAAAACAAAUCACCCCUUCUUGCCUGGGGACCAGUCUGAGUCUGUCUUUGUAGGACUAACAAACUAGCUACAAGAUUAGAAAUUAUGGUUUGGGGCCAUGCAGCCUCUGGCUGCAAGUAUCUG
rnacentral:lncRNA from 1 species